rnacentral:rRNA from 1 species
CUCUGUGACUCCUACGGGAGGCAGCAGUGGGGAAUAUUGCACAAUGGGGGAAACCCUGAUGCAGCCAUGCCGCGUGUGUGAAGAAGGCCUUCGGGUUGUAAAGCACUUUCAGUAGGGAGGAAGGUAGUGUAGUUAACACCUGCAUUAUUUGACGUUACCUACAGAAGAAGCACCGGCUAACUCCGUGCCAGCAGCCGCGGUAAUACGGAGGGUGCGAGCGUUAAUCGGAAUUACUGGGCGUAAAGCGCAUGCAGGCGGCCUGUUAAGUCAGAUGUGAAAGCCCGGGGCUUAACCUCGGAAUUGCAUUUGAAACUGGCAGGCUAGAGUCUUGUAGAGGGGGUAGAAUUUCAGGUGUAGCGGUGAAAUGCGUAGAGAUCUGAAGGAAUACCAGUGGCGAAGGCGGCCCCCUGGACAAAGACUGACGCUCAGAUGCGAAAGCGUGGGGAGCAAACAGGAUUAGAUACCCUGGGAG